rnacentral:tRNA from 1 species
UCCUUGGUGGCUCAGUGGUAAAGAACCUGCCUGCCAAUGCAGGAGACACAGGUUUGAUCCCUGGUCUGGGAA